CAUCCGUCAGUGCUGUCCAGAGGGGAGUCUCGCUGCGGCCUCCUGAGAGCUGGCGUCCACCCGAUCCUCAGUGCCGGCGAUCACGUAGCUACAAACCUCCUCUCUCACAAGCCGGCCUGGUGUUUUCUUUGGCUUCUGAACAACCUACACGACUGCCUGGCUCAAGACAAGGUAUGGACAAGACACCACGGUGUGGGCCGGCGGCAGGUGCGGGGACAGGAAGGACUGAAGCUCUCAAUCCAGGAAAACACCCAUGGCUUUACAUUCAUGACAAGUAGCUUUAGUGCUGCACGACGGGUCCCUGUCCCAGUAAACACACGACGUACGCGGGCAAGCGAUUCACAAGCCGCGGAACAAUGCUCCACGUCACGGCACGUUA